GAUUGCACUUCCUCUCUUGGGAGACAUCGGUGUCUUGCUUAAGAACUUCUGUGGCAACUGCCAUGCCAGUGUCCCCGGGCUGAAAAGCAACAAAGGAGAAGAAGCUGGUGCUGGUGAGCCUGGAAAGUAUGAUUCUAUAGCCCAGAAGGGUGAUCCAGGCCCACGGGGUCCUCCAGGAAUCCCAGGCAGGGAGGGACCAAAGGGAAACAAAGGAGAGAGGGGCUACCCUGGGAUACCUGGUGAGAAAGGUGAUGAGGUAAGACUUUUCUCUGAUAGUAUAGUCCUGCUAUUGACUCUCUUUGCAGAACUCAGAGGAAGGACUU